GCAAGAGAGAAGCACAGAUGAAGAGAGGAGCAUGCUUUGCUCCUGCACCGCUCCCACACCUUCGCACUCCAGAACUGAUUCUUGGCAGCCUAAUGGGGUCUCACAAUGUUGCCCAGGCUGGUCUUGAACUCCUGGGCUCAAGCAAUCCACCUGCCUCGGUCUCCCAAGGUGCUGGGAUGACAGGCCUGAGCCACCACGCCCGGCCACCGCCGCUGCCUUACCCAGGAUGAUGCCGUUGGGCUCCUCCGGAGGUUGCCACACAAUCCGCACGGAGUUUCAGUCAUUUCCUGGGGGUCCUGGGAUGUGUUGCUGGAUAAGGGGGCACUACACGAGGUGUGUGGAGCCCCUGCCAAGAGGAGCGUCCACAGCUCACAUCCACAGCUCAGACCCGCCCCAGCCCCUGCUGCCUCUCCCCAGCACUGCCCACGGCAGAGUUAUGAGGGAAACUCAGCACAGGUUCAUAAUUAGGCUGUAAAAAUCCACUCCAGGCUGAAAUUGGCCAUAUAAGUGCUCAGUGACCGAAAAACAAUUUUGUUUUGUUUCUCUCAACUGCAAAAGAAAGUGGUUUGAAAAUUAAGUUAAAA
rnacentral:antisense_RNA from 1 species